rnacentral:lncRNA from 1 species
UGCAUACAUAAUGCCUGCCACUGGGUUUUAAUGAAUUAAGGGUGGGGAAUAGGAAAUUCAGUGCAGAAACUUCCUUAUUGCACACCAACAUGUAAGAAUUCUUGUGAAAAAUUACAUCUUAAAAAUAUAUAUGUAGUUUGCUCAUAAACAUCGGACACUUGAAUUUCACAGCAAUAUACUUGUUCAGACCCAGCAGUCAAACAUGGAUUAGCAGCUCCAGAAGCAUGUAAUAUGUUAAUUCACAUAAACUGUGUAGAAAAAUAAAUAAAUAAAUAAAUAAAAUAAAAAAGACUCAUUACACCUAGGGAAAACAAACAAACAAAAAAACAAACAAAAAAAAACAACAAAAAACACUGACUUUCUCAAGUUGUGUAUUAUAUUUACAAUUACAUUUACAUAGCUUCUCUGUCAAAUGCAUUGACAUUAGAGCUGCUCUGAAUUUACAAAUUUACAGAAAAUAUACCCUCUCUCAUUCUUCUGUAAAAAAAAAAAAAAAAAAAAAAAAAAAGCUUAUCAAAAGGUUCAAGAAACAGGGUGGGGAAAAAUACUAUAACAUGCAGGCAUCUGUUCAGAGUAGAUAUUUUGACCAAACAUGGGAUCCCUAAGGGCAGAAAGAUAGGUCAUAAAAUCUUCCUCAGACACAUAGUUUGUUCUCCAAGGCAAGAUUUAUGAUUUUGUCCUGCUCCUCUAACAAGAUAAUUCCUGUUAACAUAUCAAGUUUGUGGAUGAGGCAAGAUCACAGUUCAAAUAAUCUUCCCUACUCUGCUCUUGUGCCAGCUUUCACAGACAAGGAAGAAUGCAACAUGCAUAUAGAUUCAGAAUAUAGUACAACAGGGAUGACGACUGCUGAGCAUUGUAUAAUGUGAUGCUGGGGUGGCCCCAGCCAGCUCCAAUGGCCCCACUCCAAGGCAUGGCCGGGCCCUGCAGCCAAGAUGGUGGCACGUGGGGGGGCAGCCUGGGGAAGAGAGGACACUGCACAGCAGAGAGCAGUGAGGGGUUGGGGAUAAUCCAUCAUCAUCCUGAACUUCAAAAUGACGACAUCUGGACUACAUCCUCACAAUGGUGUAGUACUGACACUUCAAACAAACUCAGAAAAUGGUUAAAAAAAGAAGCACUACUUACAACCAUCUCACAAGGAUAAUCAUCUGUGGGCAAACAAAAGACUAAAAGACUCAUUCUUGCUGGAAACAUUUGAAGUUCCUUUUUUUUUUUUUUUUUUUUUCUUUUUCUUUCUUCCCUUUUCCUGGCUUUAACUUAUUGAACUUUUUAGUUAAGGCAGCCUGAAGGCACUAAAUUACAGAUGGUGCUCACUCAUUCUAAAAUUGAAACCUUCCUCUUUCAAAAGGUAAUUGUUUCCAGUUGAUACAUGCAACAUGAAUUGGAUAAGUCAAUCAUUUCUUGAAUGAAAAUAGCUCUUAUAUUCUUGCAAAGUCAAACUCUGUCUAAGGAUCUCUUUGUCCUAAGAAAAGAAAUUGCAUGCUAUUUCCUUCCCUUAUGAUCUAACUUUGUGUCAACUCCCUCUAUAGUACCUUUGGCAGAAAAAGUAAAAGUAACAAAUGUUCCUUAUUAUUUAUAGUCCUUGAAUGUAAAAAUAAAAAUUUGAAAAAGGUAGAUUAUAUAUUUGAA